UGGAAAAUUUGCAUUAACCAAUCGGCAACGUCAAUUCCCACUAUAUAAAUGCCGUCUAACGCCCAAUAUUUUCUCAGAAAAUUUUCCCACUUUCUCUUCAAAUUUCCCAUCCAAGAAACAAGGAAUCCUUCCGUUUCUCCACAGUUCUUCGGAUCAGAUUGCUUAUAGUCAGCCAUGAAGAAAUCAGGGCUAUUCGCUGCCUCAGUCGCCGCCGCCUCUGCCUCUUCCACUUUCACUUGUAACUCCAAUUUCCAGUUCUCCGGCGAGGACAAGAAAGAAGAUGAGAAUUCUUCUGCAAACAAAAAAUCGACUUCGACUGAGAAAUUUGCACCCAGGUUUGAUGGGUUGAGGUUCAUUGAGACUUUGGUCACUGCUCAUCGAUGAACAAAUCAAAGCUUGAUAACCACAAGCUUCGAUUCUUUUCUCCUUAAAACUGAUGAAGAAUUUUCGCUUUUUUUUUUUUACCUGUUUGGUUCAUAAUUCUACGAAGGAAGCGAAAGAGAUGCACUUUAUAAUAUUUCUCCAAUUUUUGAGCCCCUUCUGUUCAAAAUUGUUUCCAUAAUGCACCAUAUGUAUAUCUUUUAAUAUUUAUGUAUAAACUAUAUGUCGACACGGUUUUUUUU